AGCAGCCGCGGUAAUUCCAGCUCCAAUAGCGUAUAUUAAAGUUGUUGCAGUUAAAAGCUCGUAGUUGAAUUUCGGGGUUAGUAGGUUGGUCAUGCCUCUGGUAUGUACUGGUCUCACUGAUUCCUCCUUCCUGAUGAGCCGUAAUGCCAUUAAUUUGGUGUUGCGGGGAAUUUGGACUGUUACUUUGAAAAAUUGAGUGUUUAAAGCAAGCUAACGCUUGAAUACAUUAGCAUGGAAUAAUGAAAUAGGACGUUCGAUCCUAUUUUGUUGGUUUCUAGGAUUGACGUAAUGAUUAAUAGGGAUAGUUGGGGGCAUUAGUAUUCAAUUGUCAGAGGUGAAAUUCUUGGAUUUAUUGAAGACUAACUACUGCGAAAGCAUUUGCCAAGGAUGUUUUCAUUAAUCAAGAACGAAAGUUAGGGAUCGAAGACGAUCAGAUACCGUCGUAGUCUUAACCAUACACUAUGCCGACUAGGGAUCGGAUGAUGUUUAAUUUUUAUGUA
rnacentral:misc_RNA from 1 species